UACGAAGGGGGCUAGCGUUGUUCGGAAUCACUGGGCGUAAAGCGCACGUAGGCGGACUCUUAAGUCGGUGGUGAAAUCCUGGAGCUCAACUCCAGAACUGCCUUCGAUACUGGGAGUCUCGAGUGCGGGAGAGGUGAGUGGAACUGCGAGUGUAGAGGUGAAAUUCGUAGAUAUUCGCAAGAACACCAGUGGCGAAGGCGGCUCACUGGCCCGAUACUGACGCUGAGGUGCGAAAGCGUGGGGAGCGAACAGG
rnacentral:rRNA from 1 species